rnacentral:rRNA from 1 species
AUUGAACGCUGGCGGCAUGCUUUACACAUGCGAGUCGAACGGUAACAGGGGAGCUUGCUCCCGCUGACGAGUGGCGAACGGGUGAGUAAUGCAUCGGAACGUGCCGAAUAGUGGGGGAUAACGCACCGAAAGGUGUGCUAAUACCGCAUACGCCCUGAGGGGGAAAGGGGGGGACCGCAAGGCCUCACGCUAAUCGAGCGGCCGAUGUCGGAUUAGCUAGUUGGGGGGGUAAAGGCUCACCAAGGCGACGAUCCGUAGCGGGUCUGAGAGGAUGAUCCGCCACACUGGGACUGAGACACGGCCCAGACUCCUACGGGAGGCAGCAGUGGGGAAUUUUGGACAAUGGGGGAAACCCUGAUCCAGCCAUGCCGCGUGUCUGAAGAAGGCCUUCGGGUUGUAAAGGACUUUUGUCCGGGAGGAAACCCUGAUCGUUAAUAGCGGUCGGGACUAACAGUACCGGAAGAAUAAGCACCGGCUAACUACGUGCCAGCCGCCGCCGUAACAC